UUGCAGCCUCUUUCCAAAGAUGUGUGAGUAUCACAGUGACAUCCACCACGUAUGUUUGGUUGUCCUUCACAAAUGUGAGGUCCUGUUUAUGUAACUUGUUGUCUCUUGUAUGUGGUUCUCCUGAAACACCACCCAAUUUUUCUCUUUAGCUCCUUUGAUAACAUGUCACAGAUAUAGCUGAGCCUUUUAAGUCUUGCCUCCUGCAAGGCUGGAUAAUUCCCAGUGAUAUGGGACGAUGUUUCAUUCUCAGCCUGGCAGUGUCUGCAGGAUUUGAUGUACCUUGCUUGUCUACCCCUUGCUAGGAACUCUCUUGUGGGGUAAACAUUGGCUCUUAAUUGCAGUGCUGUUACAGGCUUGGUGAUGCCUCUGUAGUUCUCUAUCCCAAAGUUGCUGGUCCCACCCCUUUCAAAGUUGGUAAUGCCCAGGCCCUGGGAUACCAGCUUGGUCCAUUUUGCAAAUUCUGGUGUGUCGUGGUUUUGCCCUGGCUCAAUUUACUUUUACACCCCCCAUACAAUUACUAUCACUUGAGAGAAGGUUUAUGCAGACAAAAAGAGACUGAAUUGAAAAAAAAGUAUGAGUAUUUAUUAUUAUUAUCAAACUAAAACUAAAGAAUUAUAUCUACAAUAAUUUUACUUAAGUAAAAGGUAUUAUGUAUUUACAGAAGAUACUUCUCCCCCCCACCUCCCUUUAUAUCAGUCCAAGGAGGAGAAGCAGUCCUUUUCUGUUCUCAGAAUUCCAGCUCUCUCUCUCUCCAGUAACUCUGCAGCACUUUCGUCACAGCUGGAACUUCUUUAUCUCUCUCUCAUUCUGUGUUGGCCUCCAGGGCUGGGUCUACCCCCCUCCUGGGCUAAAACCAAAGGCUGGGGGUUACCCAGGUCCUGAAGGGUCUCCUUCCAUAGGCUUGCAAGGGGACACUUGCUUACUAUGGAUCUUCUUCCACAGGGUUACAGGGGAUAAUGGUUUAAGAGUUCACCCCUGUUUCCCUAUGGAGGUCCCUCCCCAUGAGAGAACAGUCCUUGAUUGACUUCUCGGCAUGGGUCUAGUCUGGAUCCCUUACUUGGAUCUCAAUAUCCCACUUGAGCCAUUUUCUGCUCCAGCGUAGGUUCUCUCAGGAUCACAAAUCUCCAGCACUAGUAGCAUGGAUCUCUCACUGAGAUCCCGAGCUUAUCUGAGCCGUCUUGCUCCAGCAUAAGCAUCGUCCCCUUCGAGGGUUACAAAGUCUUUAACAGGACUCUGCCUCAUCCGAGCCGCUCCUGCUCCAGCAUAAGGCUUUCUCUUUCUGUUAAAGUCACAAAUCUCUGGUGCAUCCACAAGCUCCUCUGUGAGCCGCACGGGGGGUCUCUUCACCCCAACAAACUUUCACAAGUGGCAGGGUUUUAUUUUUCAGUCUUUACCCUGCUGAAGGGAGGGAGAGUGAAAAGGAGAAAAAGCAGCUCUCCCCCCUUCGAACUUUUCUUCUCUCUCCUGUUGCAGCUUCAGCUGCCAGCUUUGACCUUGGAAGUCCUGUUAUCUCAUGGCUGGAAUUCUUCUGCAGCGGUUUCUCGUCUAAGCAGUUCGUCUUUUAAACCUUUUUUUUUCUUCACUCUCUCACAAGAGAGAAGAGAGGCUUCAGUACUACACCUGCCCCCCCCGGCCCAAGCCGGGGAGGAGGGGUCCUUGGCCCUCCUCGGGCCCACCGCGUCUCUCCUACAUGGCUGCUGUUCCUAAUUUCAACUGCGCAACCAACCUUCUCUUCCGUUUUCUUAAAGAUGUAAUUAGCAAAGGCGUCACUGAACUUUUUGAUUGGUUUUUUGUCCGGAAAUCACCUGGACAAAACCGUCCUCAGCCCCAGGGAUGGGCUGGUGGGCAAAACCACGACAAUUCUCCUUGUCCAGCUCUAAACAAUGAACUUCUCUCCCAGUCUGGGACCACUGAAGAAUAUCAGGCCCCAAACUUUUAGUUUGUUUUUCUAACAGAUACAUGGACACCCCCAGAGCUUGCCCCUCAUCCAUUAUCUCUUUCCACGGAUUAAACCUCCUGGCAACGACUCCCCCCAGAGCUGCACAGGCUCCUUUUUAAGGAAAUAGGGUUGGUUUGGGGACAGUUCCCUCGUGAGGAGAACCUCCUUCCCAGGCUGUGCGGGGACCACACUCUGUCUCAGGGUGUGGUGGCUCCUCUGGUUGGUGCUGCUCCUGGUUGGGAUCUGUUGCCAGUUCCAUCUGCCGCUCCCACCCACCCUGUCUCUCUUCCCGAUGGAUCGGCUUCCUGCUUUUUCAUGUUUGAAAGCCAAGGACCACAAUUAUUCCUGAUUCUUUAAUUGCUUUGGAUGCUCCUUGGAAUACUAUUCCAGGAAUGUCUUGAUACAGAGCAUCAGACUCCACAACAGAAUCCUGCCAAGUAAUUAUAUCCACAUAGGAAAGGAAAUUGUUGGCAAUCCUGACCUGGCUUUUGGAGGUACCAGGAGCUCGUGAUAAAACAAAUAUCUUCAACUGAAGGCUUUAUUAAAGUAGCUGAAUGGUCAAACUAAGAAGUGUCUGUACCUGCAGACAACCAUUCCUUCAGAGCAGAUAUGCAGGUGCUUGGGAAUGUUAUUCCCUCCUGUCAGCUUCCCACACAGCUGUGGGCAUACUUUGUCCAGGCAGCUCACGAAAUGCAGAGUUUCCUUCCAACCUGAAGGGAGGCUUUGCUCUCCAACAUCUCUCCCAGGUGGCACUGGGUGAUCGCAGGCUGCGUCUCCUGGCUCUGCCCAUGUCCUGCUCUCCUUGGAAAGCACCACGGCCGGAAGGAUCCAGAUGUUGAUCCUGAUCUCCAAGACAAUCAAUAAAAUAUCAUUAAACAGGCAUAAAAUGUGGGGAAUCGAUCAAUGAAAUGCCAGGUCUGUCUGAAAAGAGACACAAAUACAGAAGAGCUGCCCCGGGACGGGCGGGCUGGGAACACAAAGUGGAGACUGAAGUGAAUGCGAGAGGGAUCGGCCCUGGGGGGGUCCCGCCGUCCCCUGGCACUGAAGAGCCGCCCGGGACGGGCCCUGGCGGGUGUCGCCAGAGAAGGGAGUGAGGUCGGAACAGAAUAAAAUAUAGAGAAUAAAGCAAAGUAAAACAAAAAAGCCGCCCGGGGAGCCUCCGCCGCCCCGUAUGUAAAAGAGCUGCCCCGAGGGACGAGCGAGGAGUGGCGGCCGUGGAAUGGUCGCCCGGGCUGUGGCGAGGGAGGCGUGAAUGGGAUCAAAUAGAGAGGAGAGAAUUAAAUACACUAAAGGAGCCGCCCCGAGUCACCGAAAGAGCUGCACCGAGGGACCCGCUGUCGGGUGUCGUCAAAGGGCUGCACCGACGGCAGGGCGAGGUGGGAAUAGAAUUAAAUAUAGAAAAUAAAAGGAAGAGAAUAAAAAGCUGCACCAGGGAUGUCCUGCCACCCUGUAUCAAGAAGAGCUGCACCGAGGGACCGGCGGGGCGGCACCAGGCAGGCCAGACGAUGUUCGGUGUCCCCGAAAAAGCCGCAUCACGGGGCGGCGACAAAAGGGCAGCACCAAGGGACUGGAGGUGUGAAUGGACUAAAAUACACAGAAUAAAAUACAAUACAAGAACCUCACUGAGGGGUCAUCGCUGCUCCGUGUCACUGAAAGAGCUUCAGGGCAGGACCUGCCAGGUGUAAAUAGAAUGAAAUAUAGAGAAUAAAAUAAACAAAAUAAAAUAGCUGCGCCGAGGGGUUUCUACUGCUUGGUACUUAAAAGAGCUGCACCGAGGGAGCACCGGGGCGGCCUCGGGGGGUGUGAGGGAGCGAUGAACGACCCCGAGGGGCCUCUGUUGUUCUGUGCCACUGAAAGUGCGGCCCCGAGAGUCGGGUGGGGUGCUCACUCUGUCCUGUCUGCCUCCGUCCUGCUCGUGUCCCACCUGCCUGCGUCUCCUGCUUGUCUCGGAUCCAGCCUGCUCACCCCCUGCUUCCCUCCAGUGGCCCUUCCCUGACUGCCCGAGGCUGACUACACCCGCUUCUCUCACUGGUGUUGAUAAUCUUUUGCAUUUUCCUUUUGCAGCCUUUCCUUUUCCUCCUCUCUCCCUCUCCUCCCCAUCCCUCGCUUUUCUUUCCCCUUUUACUUAUUGUUACCAAUAAAGCCAAUUGUCUGUUUGAGACCUAA